UACGUAGGGUGCAAGCGUUAAUCGGAAUUACUGGGCGUAAAGCGUGCGCAGGCGGUUGUGUAAGACAGAUGUGAAAUCCCCGGGCUCAACCUCUGGCCUGCAUCCGAUACUGCCCGACUAGAGGUAGGUAGGGGAGAUCGGAAUUCCUGGUGUAGCGGUGAAAUGCGCAGAUAUCAGGAGGAACACCGGUGGCGAAGGCGGAUCUCUGGGACGGUACUGACGCUGAGACGCGAAAGCGUGGGGAGCGAACAGG
rnacentral:rRNA from 1 species